rnacentral:rRNA from 1 species
GCAAUACCUGCCCAGUGCGAAAUAUUACUGUAAACGGCCGCCCUAGCGUGAGGGUGCUAAGGUAGCGAAAUUCCUUGCCUUUUGAUUGUAGGCCUGCAUGAAUGGUUUAACGAGGGUUUAACUGUCUCUUGAUUUAAAAUUGAAAUUGUACUGAAGGUGAAGAUACCUUCAUUAAAAAGUCAGACAAAAAGACCCCGUGCAACUUUGAAAAUUAACUUUAUUCAGAAGUGAAAGAUUUUUAGGUGGGGCGCCUAGAAAGUAAAUCUAACCUUUCUGAACAUUUAAUUCUUUCCGGACUUGACCCGAUUAUAUUCGAUCAUAGGAGAAGUUACGCCGGGGAUAACAGGCUAAUCCUUUAGUAGAGCUCGUAUUGGCUAAAGGGAUUGGCACCUCGAUGUUGAAUCAGGGAUGAUAGCUUCAAGGCGUAGAGGCUU